CCGCAGAGGGGGCCCAGCACACUGCCUCUACUCUUCUCUUCUCUUCUCUUCCAAUAACUCUCGCGAGACCCACGGAGUGUUGCCAUGGUAACCGGGUCUCGCGAGAGUUAUUAGAAUAGAGGAGAAGAGAAGAGUAGAGGCAGUGUGCUGGGCCCCCUCUGUGGUAA